GACGAACGCUGGCGGCGUGCUUAACACAUGCAAGUCGAACGGAAAGGCCCUGCUUUUGUGGGGUGCUCGAGUGGCGAACGGGUGAGUAACACGUGAGUAACCUGCCCUUGACUUUGGGAUAACUUCAGGAAACUGGGGCUAAUACCGGAUAGGAGCUCCUGCUGCAUGGUGGGGGUUGGAAAGGUUCGGCGGUUGGGGAUGGACUCGCGGCUUAUCAGCUUGUUGGUGUGGUAGUGGCUUACCAAGGCUUUGACGGGUAGCCGGCCUGAGAGGGUGACCGGCCACAUUGGGACUGAGAUACGGCCAAGACUCCGACGGGAGGCAGCAGUGGGGAAUAUUGCACAAUGGGCGGAAGCCUGAUGCAGCAACGCCGCGUGCGGGAUGACGGCCUUCGGGUUGUAAACCGCUUUCGCCUGUGACGAAGCGUGAGUGACGGUAAUGGGUAAAGAAGCACCGGCUAACUACGUG
rnacentral:rRNA from 1 species